GCCUCGUUAUAUCAGUCGGUAGAUAGUGUGACUCUUAGUCUCUAUGCCGAUAGAUCACACAGUCAUGGGUUCGAGCCCCAUACGAGGCU
rnacentral:tRNA from 2 species